rnacentral:tRNA from 1 species
GUUUUAAUAAUUUAACUAAAAUAUUGAUUUUGUAAAUCAAACAUAAGACUUAAUCUUUUAAAACA